rnacentral:rRNA from 1 species
UCCCUCGGUGCCCGAGUUGUAAUUUGUAGAGGGUGCUUCGGCGUCGGCCCGGGCGUAAGUUCCUUGGAACAGGACGUCACAGAGGGUGAGAAUCCCGUACGUGGCCCCCGGCCUUCACCAAGUGAGGCCCCUUCGACGAGUCGAGUUGUUUGGGAAUGCAGCUCUAAAUGGGAGGUAAAUUUCUUCUAAAGCUAAAUACCGGCCAGAGACCGAUAGCGCACAAGUAGAGUGAUCGAAAGAUGAAAAGCACUUUGGAAAGAGAGUCAAAAAGCACGUGAAAUUGUUGAAAGGGAAGCGCUUGCAGCCAGACUUGCCCGCAGUUGCUCACCCAGGCUUACGCCUGGUGCACUCUUCUGCGGGCAGGCCAGCAUCGGUUCGGGCGGUCGGAUAAAGGCCCCGGGAAUGUGGCCCCUCUCGGGGGGUGUUAUAGCCCGGGGUGCAAUGCGGCCAGCCCGGACCGAGGACCGCGCUCCGGCUAGGAUGCUGGCGUAAUGGCCGCAAGCGGCCCGUCUUGAAACACGGACCAAGGAGUCUAACAUCUAUGCGAGUGUUUGGGUGUCAAGCCCGGGCGCGCAAUGAAAGUGAACGGAGGUGGGAACCCCUCGGGGCGCACCAUCGACCGAUCCUGAUGUCUUCGGAAGGAUUUGAGUAAGAGCAUAGCUGUUGGGACCCGAAAGAUGGUGAACUAUGCCUGAAUAGGGUGAAGCCAGAGGAAACUCUGGUGGAGGCUCGCAGCGGUUCUGACGUGCAAAUCGAUCGUCAAAUUUGGGCAUAGGGGCGAAAGAC